rnacentral:lncRNA from 1 species
CUGCCUCUGUCAUGAGCCCUUUGCAGCCCAGAGAAGACGCAGAGGCAGAGCCUGGGUAAAGCUGGGAAGGUCAAGGAGAUGAGACCCUCCUGUGGGACAGGGUGAUGCCAGCCUCCUGCCUGAGUCCUUUGGUGGAGGGAUAACAGUAGGAACAGCACCAUCUCACCGAGCUGCCCUGGCUACCAGGACCUUUGUACCCAUCACUUCAGAGUACAAGACACUCCUGUGAGCCUGGCACAGCACUCACCUGUAUCACACAUGUGGAAACAGCUUCACCAGGUCCGGCCCUGUCUGUGGUCACACAGCUGGUCAGUGGCAGAGCCAAGGUCAGAAGCAGGUGUGGUGGGGUUGUUGUUUCGUUUUGGGUUUUUUUGAAAUGGAGUCUCGCUCUGUUACCCAGGCUGGAGUGCAGCUCACUGCGCUCACGAUCUCAGCUCACUGCAACCUCCGCCUCUCAGGUUCAAGCGAUUCCCGUCACAGCCUCCUGAGUAGCUGGGAUUACAGGCAUGGGCCACCAUGCCCAGCUAUUUCUGUAUUUUUAGUAGAGACAGGGUUUCACCGUGUUGGUCAGGCUGGUCUCGAACUCCUGACCUCAGGUGAUCCACCCACCUCAGCCUCCCAAAAUGCUGGGAUUACAGGUGUGAGCCACCACACCUGGUGUAGUUUUUGUUGUUGUUGUUUUGAGAUGGAAUUUCACUCGUUGCCCAGGCUGGAGUGCAAUGGCGUGAUCUCGGCUCACUGCAACCUCCACCUCCUGAUUUCAAGCAUUCUCCUACCUCAGCCUCCCGAGUAGCUGGAAUUACAGGCAUGUGCCACCACGCCCAGGUAAUUUUUGCAUUUUUAGCAGAGACAGGGUUUCACCAUGUUGGCCAGGCUAGUCUCGAUCUCCUGACCUCAUGUGAUCCACCCACCUUGGCCUCCCAAAGUGCUGGGAUUACAGGUGUGAGCCACCGCACCUGGUCCAGACUACUUGUUUGUUUUUGAGAUGGAGUUUUGCUCUUGUUGCCUAUACUGGAGUGCGAUGGCACUGUCUUGGCUCACUGAAACCUCCUCCUCCCAGGUUUGAGCAAUUCUCCUGCCUCAGCCUCCCGAAGUGCUGGGAUCUCCCCUCCUCGGCCUCCCAAAGUGCUGGAAUUACAGGCAUAAGCCACCACGCCCGGAUGCCAGUUUACUUCUUUAUGCCUCUGUUUCCUCCUCUAUGGAGGGCUAUUAGGAUCAAACCCCUCAGCUCUGGUAGCAGCAAACACAGCACAGUUGAGGGAUGGCUUUUCUGGCCUUCAGCUGGUGCUCGCUUCUCCCCCCUGUAGAGUGUGAGACUGAGGCUACUGAUUGCAUCUCUUCAGCCACAUCCUCUGGGCUGGCUGUUAGGGACCAGAAAGGAAGCAGCCCUGGGCCCUAUCCAGAUGCCUCAGGGGUUGGGGUGAAGACUCAUCCACCAAAAGUGGAAGAAGCCACAGCUGACUGCUUCAGGAGGCAUGCCCCCAUAACCUCAGGCAGACGCUUCACUUCUCUGGCCUGUUUCUGCCUCAAACUGUGUCCGGAAUUGGUGGGUUCUUGGUCUCACUGACUUCAAGAAUGAAGCCGUGGACCCUCGUGGUGAGUGUUACAGUUCUUAAAGGCG